rnacentral:rRNA from 1 species
GAUGAACGCUAGCGGCAGGCUUAAUACAUGCAAGUCGAGGGGCAGCAUGAGUGUAGCAAUACAUUUGAUGGCGACCGGCAAACGGGUGCGGAACACGUACACAACCUUCCUAUAAGUGGGGAAUAGCCCAGAGAAAUUUGGAUUAAUACCCCGUAACAUAAUGAUGUGGCAUCACAUUAUUAUUAUAGCUUCGGCGCUUAUUGAUGGGUGUGCGGCUGAUUAGAUAGUUGGCGGGGUAACGGCCCACCAAGUCUACGAUCAGUAGCUGAUGUGAGAGCAUGAUCAGCCACACGGGCACUGAGACACGGGCCCGACUCCUACGGGAGGCAGCAGUAAGGAAUAUUGGUCAAUGGACGCAAGUCUGAACCAGCCAUGCCGCGUGAAGGAUUAAGGUCCUCUGGAUUGUAAACUUCUUUUAUCUGGGACGAAAAAAGGCUAUUCUUAGUCACUUGACGGUACCAGAUGAAUAAGCACCGGCUAACUCCGUGCCAGCAGCCGCAGUAAAAC